UUUUGAAUUCUGUAUGAUCUGUGCAGGGCAUAUUUUUGAAAAUAUUUUUAUAUUUUUGUUUUACUUUAUAUUUUUGUUUCCAAGAUUUGCUACUGGUGUUUAGGCGCAGCUUAAUGAUAUUGACAAAUUAUAAAACAGAAAUAGGCAGGUGUAUGUAGGUAAUGUCAUACACUGAGCUCGAACAUGGCUAUCAAGGGUUGCGGCAAGCUACUCAGCCCCAAUUUUAUGUCGGAGAUGACGGAAAUCUUGUACCGAUAAGAUCAUCACUUUACAUGCUGACAAUGACAAGUGAGGGCGAGUUGGAUCUGUGCGAGUCGCUGGACCCGCACAGCGAUGGCGGGGGUAAGAAGGUGGUGGUCGGCGUUUGCGCCAUGGCCAAGAAGUCGCAGUCGAAGCCCAUGAAGGAGAUCCUCACCCGCCUCGACGAGUUCGAGUACAUCAAGAUGCUGGUCUUCCCAGAGGAGGUUAUCCUUAAGAAACCUGUGGAAGAGUGGCCCAUCUGCGACUGUCUUAUUUCGUUUCACUCGAAGGGCUUCCCCUUAGACAAGGCCAUACAAUACGAGAAGUUACGGAAGCCCUAUGUUAUAAAUAAUCUUCACAUGCAGUAUGAUAUUCAGGAUCGUAGAAAAGUAUACGCGAUACUAGAGGGUGAAGGUAUAGAGAUACCUAGAUAUGCAGUAUUAGAUAGAGAUUCGCCGGAUCCAAAGCAUCACGAGCUGGUGGAAUCAGAAGACCACGUGGAAGUGAACGGCGUGGUGUUCAACAAGCCCUUCGUGGAGAAGCCGGUGUCAGCCGAGGAUCAUAACAUUUAUAUCUACUACCCCACCUCCGCCGGCGGAGGCAGCCAGAGACUCUUUAGAAAGAUAGGAAGUCGGAGUAGUAUAUAUUCACCAGAAUCGAGAGUCAGGAAAACAGGGUCCUUUAUUUAUGAAGAUUUUAUGCCCACUGAUGGUACGGACGUAAAAGUAUACACAGUUGGACCGGACUACGCUCACGCAGAGGCUCGCAAGUCUCCCGCGUUAGACGGCAAAGUCGAGAGGGAUUCCGAAGGCAAGGAGAUCAGAUACCCCGUGAUAUUGUCUAAUCAAGAGAAGCUAAUAUCCAGGAAGGUUUGUUUGGCCUUCAAACAGACUGUGUGCGGGUUUGAUUUGCUUAGAGCAAACGGCAAAUCGUUCGUGUGCGACGUCAACGGGUUUUCUUUCGUGAAGAAUUCAAACAAAUACUACGAUGAUUGUGCUAAGAUCUUGGGUAAUAUGAUCUUACGGGAGUUGGCGCCGACGUUACACAUUCCAUGGUCGGUGCCCUUUCAGUUGGACGACCCGCCCAUAGUGCCGACCACGUUUGGGAAAAUGAUGGAGUUGCGAUGUGUGGUCGCCGUUAUAAGACAUGGGGAUCGAACGCCUAAACAGAAGAUGAAGGUUGAAGUGAGGCAUCAGAGAUUCUUCGAAAUAUUCGAGAAAUAUGACGGUUUCAAGCGCGGCCAUGUAAAACUAAAGAAACCCAAACAGUUGCAAGAGAUAUUGGACAUCGCCCGCGCGUUGCUGUCGGACAUACAGACGCGACACGCCGACCCUGAGAUUGAGGAGAAGCAGGGCAAGCUGGAACAGCUUAAGAGUGUUCUGGAAAUGUACGGUCACUUCUCUGGCAUCAACCGCAAGGUGCAGAUGAAGUACCAGCCGCGGGGCCGGCCGCGCGGCUCCAGCUCCGACGACGGUAACGCGCCGCCGCCACACGUAAGUGGUGGUGGGGAGCCGUCCUUAGUGCUAAUACUGAAAUGGGGGGGAGAGCUGACCCCCGCGGGGAGGAUACAGGCGGAAGAGUUGGGGAGGAUGUUCAGAUGCAUGUAUCCUGGCGGACAGGGAAGACAUAUACCUGGUGAAAGUGGCACCCAAGGCCUAGGCCUCCUCCGUCUCCACUCCACCUUCCGCCACGACCUCAAGAUCUACGCGUCAGACGAGGGGCGCGUACAAAUGACUGCAGCAGCCUUCGCUAAAGGCCUGCUGGCUUUGGAGGGAGAAUUGACGCCUAUAUUAGUGCAGAUGGUCAAAUCUGCGAAUACUAAUGGGCUGUUGGAUAACGACUGUGAUUCGUCUAAAGUUCAGAAUAUGGCCAAAGCCCGUCUGCACGAGGCCAUGCAGGUAGACCGUGAUUUCACGGACGCGGACCGGUCGCGCAUCAACCCGUGCGAGUCCGUCAGCAUCAGCGCCGCCAUGCACUUCGUCAAGAACCCCGUGCGCUGCUGCGCCCACGUGCAUACUCUUAUACAGCAGCUUGUGAGAAUUGUCGUCACUAAGAAGGACGACCCCAAGACUAAAGACACAAUACUCUACCACGGUGAAACGUGGGAGCUAAUGGGCCGUCGCUGGGGUAAGAUCGAGAAGGAUUUCUGCACGAAAAACAAAACGUAUGACAUAUCCAAGAUCCCGGACAUUUAUGACUGCAUCAAGUAUGAUCUUCAGCAUAACCAGCAUACGUUGCAGUUUGAUCUCGCUGAGGAACUUUAUAUCUAUGCUAAGUACUUGGCGGAUAUUGUGAUACCUCAGGAAUACGGUCUAACGAUGCAGGAAAAACUAACAAUAGGACAGGGAAUUUGCACGCCCCUCCUCAAGAAGAUCAGAGCUGAUCUGCAGAGGAACAUCGAAGAGUCCGGAGAGGAAACUGUCAAUAGAUUGAACCCCAGGUACAGCCACGGCGUGUCGUCGCCGGGCCGCCACGUGCGGACACGGCUCUACUUCACUAGCGAGAGCCACGUGCACUCCUUGCUGACCGUGCUGAGGUUCGGGGGGCUGUUGGAUGUACUAAAAGAUGAACAAUGGCGUCGUGCGAUGGAGUACGUGUCCACUGUUUCCGAACUCAACUACAUGUCACAGAUAGUCGUCAUGCUAUAUGAAGACCCCACUAAGGAUCCUUACUCAGAAGAAAGGUUCCACGUGGAGCUACACUUCAGCCCGGGCGUGAACUGCUGCGUGCAGAAGAACUUGCCGCCCGGCCCCGGCUUCCGCCCGCACAGUCGCAACCACUCCACUACUAACAACUCCCAGAGUUCGUCAGACGAAGUGAAAUGUAUAGAAGAGGAAGGCGAAGACGACAAUAUGGCUAGCCAAGAAACUUUGCAGCCGGAUGCCGAUGAACUGGACAAUACUUUCUCGCCGAAGAAGCUGUCAAAAUCUAAAAUAAGGCCUUCAGAUCCUAUACCUAUUUGCGACGCGUACAGCAACCUGCACUACACGGUGAGCGGGCACGAGGCGUCGACACUGGCGGCGCGGCUCAGCGCCGAGCUGCGCGCGCGCGGCCACGCCGACGCGCCCGCGCAUCCCGCCAGUCAGGGCGACGAAAAAGAGCCGAAAGACGUAGAGGAAGCGCCGCCCCGCGCUCGGUCCUACGACCAACACAAGCAGAGCCACGACAACGGGCGGCGCCAGCGGCACAGCAUCGCCGGCCAGAUGAGCUACCUCAAGAUGCUGGGGCUGGGCGCGCGCGGCAAGCUGUCCGCCGCCGGCCUCUUCAGCACCGCUGUCAUCUCGGGCUCCAGCUCCGCGCCCAACCUGCGCGUCAUGAUCCCCUCCGCCGCCUCCAGCAACGCCGCAGUGGAGGGCUUCGGCGGGGUGCCGGCCAUCCGUCCUCUAGAGACGCUACACAACGCGCUGUCGCUGCGGCAGCUGGACGCGUUCCUGGAGCGCGUGACGGCGGCGCCCGUGCUACUGGGCACGCCGCCCGCGCCGCACAAGCCUGCCUCGCCCACCAACAGUGUGGGGUGGAGCGGUCCGUCGUCGCUGAUGUCGUCAUCAGGCGAGCUGCCCAGCGGCCUGUCCUCCGCCGGGCCCUCCUCGCCCAACUCCAACUACGCCUCCAACUCGGAACAUAAGACAACGUCCACCGAAAGGUUCAUCUAUUAGCGGGGAUGUGACGCCGGUGUCGAUAGCCUCGGAGCUGGACUUCAACAGCAAUGAGGCUACCGCCGGCUCCAUCACGGACCAUGAUCUACUGAGUGCAGAAGGUGAAGAUGAUGAAGAGACCCUUUCAGUAGACCCGUGCGGCUCUCCCGUCAAGAUGAUCAAGAACGACCUGAGCCCACAGACCUACACCGCGGUCAGCGCCCUCAGACUCGACAACUGUCAGCCGUCCACUAGCAAAGAGUUCUUCGGCCUAAGUCUACAACAGACUAAGGAAUGCUUCUACAAAGACAUGCCAUUAAGUAGCAAAAAUUAUAACUUAGAUAAUGAUUCUAAACAAAAGUGUACCAAGGAAAAUACGCCUUACAUGUCCAAUAUUGAUUCGCUUAAUUUGCAAAGCAAAGAUGGCAAAAGUAAAAUUAAAAAGAAUGAAAUUCUGAAUAAUGGUAGUAGAAGGUACAGUGACAGUAGUGCACAAAAAAGUAAUGUUAGUUCCCAAGCAACUGUUUCGGGCAGUCGAUUUAAAAUGACUUUAGUAACAGAUGACCUGCUCCGGCCAAGCACUUCUUCAGACAGUACAAAUAACGUGGCAACCAUAGAGCCCGCCUUGCCAUUGGUCACGAAGGCUAAAAACUCCAAUGUUAAACCAGGUUUUACUAUAUCAGAAACGUAGUUCUGGAAUAAUCGAUAACUCAAUACGUUCAACGUUGAUAUUAAUAUUGUUGCGUACUGAUCUUAAUCGUACAGUUAGUGAAAUUAUACCAUUUAAAAUAAUAACACAAUAUAAGUUCUCUGCGACUGCUAUAAUGUUUGCAGUAUAAUGGCAUAAAUGGCAUUGACCAUUUAUAUGCAGUUGAAUAAUCAAAUAGACUGUAAUGAAGUCCCAAUAAAGUAUUUAAUGCAUUCAGUGUAGUUCAAUCAUAAUAAUCUCACAAGCUGAGCACAUUUAAACUAUUACAGUUUUUAUUAGCCUUUUGAUAUUAUAUACUUACCUGUGUUUACAGUUUGUUUAUCGAUUCCUAUAUUUUUACACUCAUUGCUGUGAUUAUUGUAUGUUUUUUCCGAAUCUGAUAUUAUUUAAUGCUUUGUAUAUUGAGUAUUAUAAAUUAGUUAAACAUUUAAUAACUAGGCUAUGCAAUCGUACUUAACAGUCACAUAAUUAUUUGUAUAUGCUGGUAUUUCAAACUAUGUGCUUGUAUCAUGCUUGAAUCAGAGGCAAUGUAUUGAGUCAAUAGUCAAUGCUCUAUUUAAUAUUGCUUUACUAAAUUGUUUCAUCGCGCAAUACAAUUUUAUAAAAAUCAUAAGAUAUUGAUAUACCUAUUGAAUGUAUUAGUUAAGUGUUUACAUCAAAAUAUAAUAAUAAUGAAUGA
rnacentral:misc_RNA from 1 species